UUCUCAGGCCGGGAAUCGAAUCCGGGUUUUCUGGGUGAGAACCAGAUAUCCUAUCCAUUAGACCACGUGGGA